rnacentral:rRNA from 1 species
AGGACAAACGCUGGCGGCGUGCUUAAUACAUGCAAGUCGAACGGUACCCCUUCGGGGGUAUAGUGGCGGACGGGUGAGUAACACGUAGUUGACCUGCCCUUUAGUGGGGAAUAACUCCUCGAAAGAGGAGCUAACACCGCAUAAGCUCUCUAUCGUUGGGUAGAGAGGAAACGUGCUUCGCAAGAGGCGCGGCUGAAGGAGGGGACUGCGGCGGAUUAGCUAGAUGGUGGGGUAAAGGCCUACCAUGGCGACGAUCCGUAGCUGGUCUGAGAGGACGAUCAGCCACACUGGGACUGAGACACGGCCCAGACUCCUACAGGAGGCAGCAGUAAGGAAUAUUCCACAAUGGGCGAAAGCCUGAUGGAGCGACGCCGCGUGAGGGAUGAAGCUUUCGGAGUGUAAACCUCUUUUCUUUGGGAUGACACUCCCCGUCCGGGGAUACGACAGUACCAGAGGAAUAAGCAUCGGCUAACUACGUGCCAGCAGCCGC